AGCGUAGGCGGCGAAGCAAGUCAGAUGUGAAAGCCCGGGGCUCAACCCCGGGACUGCAUUUGAAACUGUUUUGCUAGAGUAUCGGAGAGGUAAGUGGAAUUCCUAGUGUAGCGGUGAAAUGCGUAGAUAUUAGGAGGAACACCAGUGGCGAAGGCGGCUUACUGGACGAUAACUGACGCUGAGGCUCGAAAGCGUGGGGAGCAAACA
rnacentral:rRNA from 1 species